ensembl:lncRNA
CGCGAGGUCACAAACGCUCCUCGGGGACUUCAUUUGCAGAGAAGCCACAGCCAAACCUAAAAGACUGCGGAUCAGUAUCGACACCUCCAUUUCCAGCUCCUCCUUUGGGAGUGGCCUUCUCCCUCCACCUUGACUUAGGGCGCCACACAACAUCCGCACUGGGGCAGGUCCCUUCUCCUGCCUCCUCCUCAGCUGCAGCUGUGCCCUGGGACAGUGCCCAGGGGGGGCUCCCAGCACUGCGACUCCCCGUGGAGCCGGGAGAGCCCCUUUGGCCCGGCUGCUCCCCAGGCUCCCUCAGCUGACCCUCACUUUGCUGCUGCAGGGCACACGCGGCGUGGUGAAGGCCCUCAAAAGCUCCGUCACUUUUCCGUUGCAUUUCAGUGCAAAGCAUGUUUAGUUUUAUGACCUCCUGCGAGUCUUCGGCAGGAACAAGGUGUGAGCGGUGCGAUGCUGCGCCAGUUAUGUAAAUCAGCACUAAAAUAACAAUGGCAAUGUAGUUUACACAUCGCUGGCGUUAAAUGAGCACUUCGACUUCUAUCAGUCCGUCGGGGGUCACGCCAGGAAAAAGUCAUUUCUUGCCUCAAUGCCUGUGCUUGUGCCCGGAGCAGAGGCUCUGCGGAGUGCCCAGCAGUGUCUGCAGGAGAUCCUCCAUCGGGUGCUGAGCCUGGACAAGGAGGCUCUGAGGCCCCUUCCCACCCCUACAGCUGUGCACAGUGAGUCUGAGCGAACACAACUGAAGGCAAAGCGCAGUUCCUGGUGCCGCAAUCGCCCCCCGGGUUCCACAAACACGAGGAGGCGAGCAGCACAUGUGCAGAAGGUUCAGCUCAGCCUGGUCUCCCACGGCAGCACUCUCCUACAGAGCUACCCUUCAGACAGCACUGGUGCAUCAGCUCCACUCCUGACUGAGAAACCAGCACUCGUGCUGAAGAGAUCUGAUACGGACGUUGGGUUUUAGGAAGCUGGACCAUACAGAUCUCUAAUCUUUGUGAACCUUCAUUUCCGUACUCCUGAACUUUGCAUAGUUGACUGGACUGGUUAAUUUCAUCUUCCCUUUUCUGCACAUCUACUCCCUUUUCUUUCUUUCUUCCUUUUUUUCCCCCUUGCUUCAGUGUUAUUGUGCCUUGGCGUGGGCUCUUUCUGAGCCAGCGAGCAUUCAGCUAAGGGCACCUGCUUCUAAGGUUUCAGAUCCAGGUGCUCUUUGCAGGUGCCCAAUUGCAGCUGAUAGACCUCAACUUUAUGCACUGUUGGGUUUUCUUAGUAAAAUAAAGUACCCACAGACAGGUAGGUUUUACAACCCAGUAAGAUCUGUUUAUCAGGCUUCGGAGGCAAGAAGAAAGUCUUCUUCCCCACAGUGCUCUCUUCUUACUAAUAUUACAUCAAAUUGCCUUUCUGUAGUGCCACCAGGUAGUUUCGUUCUUCUGUCCUGAUUUAAUUGUGACCACUGCCCACGUUGCAGUGGGCAGAAGUCUCCAGCUGGAAGAGCUCGAUGAGAAAUGCUGCUGGGACCUCGAGUUGGAACUCACAGUCGUUAACGACUCAAUCAAACACAAUCUUUAACACUCCAGAUCCUGGUCUAGUUGGAGGGCAGGUCUGCAGAAGCGCACCUAUUGCUCUGUGCACACGGCUGUUCAACGGUUCUACCGCUGACUUCAGCAGACCUGUUAGACCAACACUGAGCACUUUUAAUAUUCCCCUCUUAGGCCAAUUUCCCACAGAUACAGUGAGCUUUUGACAUGAUAUGUUAAUAGUACCGAGGGUUUUUUAUGUGUUUUGUACAUUGCAGUGACUAAACCUCUUAAGAGAAACCUAUGCUGAAGCAUGACAAAUCUGCAUGAUACAGCAUCAAAUGUGAGGGGGCCGGCUUCUGAAAAUGAGUUAAGAUGUGUUAGUGAUGUUGAGGCUUUGGCUUCAUAAAGGAUAGAGAUUAUCUGAAAGCUUUUCCGUUUCUAAACUCGGCUCCCUGUUGGCAUCUGUGCGAAUGUGAUGUGUGGCCAUUCUUGAACAUCCGACUUCAUGCUGCCUUCUGAACAUUUGUCUUUCGGUAGUUUGUCUUUAACGUCCAUCAAUGGUCUCUGCUCUGCAGUCUGUCUCCUGCUGCAUGAAGGAUGGAUUCUCACUCGAGAAGGAGUUACCGAUGGAGCAUCUUCGGAGAACAUCCUUGGAUUGUCCCCAGGCCUUUGUCUGCUCCGAUGCUGCAUUGCUCCCUUUGCAGCCAUCCUGAAAGAACACUCCAAACUGCAGAAACUAAGAAUUAGCAGCACAUGCAGAACUGCUGUAUGUCUAUCCCUGGCUCAUCUGCAGCCUGGACAUCGCAGUACUUUUUCUUCCCAUUGUUCUCCAAAGGGAGGAAGAUCAGCUACCCUCCCACGUUUUACAGAAGGGGAAAAACAGUUUCAGAGAAAGGCUGUUUUUAAGAGGUAUGCAGAAGCCCAGAGACCUAUAUAGGUCACACGAAGAUUUCCGAGGAUGCAUAAUCAGGUUAGAGACACAAAUUCCUAAAACUUGAGAGAGACGUCAGCAGUCGGCUCACGCAGACAUUUCUGAAAAUCCCAACGCCAAAUCUAUGGAACAGUUUCCUGACGAAUCCUUGCCGCGCCUCGUCUGUAGUUUGUACUGAGAACCGUAAAUCCUAGCAGGAGUAAAAUCACCUCAUUCAGCAACGGAGAAAAGCUCUGACACCGUGAGACCACCUGUGCUGGGGAGAGCGUUCUGCAGCCUCAGCUGGGCCCAUGAAGGUACCUGUCACAGUAGUGGGAUUCCGGUUUGUUCCCCUGCUGGGUCAGCCUCCACAGCAGAGGGGCACAGUGCAUUCCCUCGCACAACGUGCCAUCGCCUCCUGGGAACCAGAACAGUGAGGCUCAGCUGCGAACCGUGGAUAAAACUCCACUUAUUUUGCACCUCUGAGCUUCUCGCCUGCUUUCCUGCAUGCAUCCCAUGCCCCCGAGUGCAGCCCCCACAGCCCCUGGGCUUUCAGGAAGCAGAAGAACCUGCCCCAGAUUUCUUCUGCCCCUCUUUGUGCCCAGGACACGCAGCCAGCAGAGCGGGGAUCACUGUGAGAACAACACUGCUACCUCCAUUCAUUUUACACAGCCGGAAUCAAGUCUGUAAGUGCUGGUUCAGAUGCUCACACAGCCCAGGAAGAACCCCAACAACCAAAAAAUUAACCUUAUGAAUAAAUCAUUGAAAAAUUAGGGCUACUCUCUCCAGACCAAUGGAAGGCUGAAAUUGCAAGUUAGGAAGUUAAACGUGACAUUGACUUCUGCAGCUGGUAGGAAAACAGCUUCCUUGCAAAACAAAAACUAGAAUGUUUUGCAUCCAUUUUUUCUCUAAGCAACUUCUAUUGAAUCAGAUGUUACUAAUAAGGAACUUCGAUAGAUUAAAGAAACGCACCUCUGCAAUAAUAUGUGAAUAUUAUGUUUUCCUUCCUUCCAUUCAUUUACAAUACACGUUCCGAUAACACAAGCUGGAUUUAGACAGGUCAAAGCUGCAAAAAAGCAAAAAUUCUCCAAAUGAAAGCAUAUGGGGAUGAGAUAAAAUAGAGGCUUUCCCUUAAACCAACGUGAUUUCACAGCUGGCCUGAGGGAAUGUCAUCUGCACCACAUCGCCACGCGUGUCCAGGCAGCUGUACGUAUUAUUUUCCCUGUUUGCUUACAUUAGAAAUAAAAAAAAUCCUCUAGACUGAAUCACAGCGAUGGCUCCUACCUGAAAUGUCUCUCCUGCAUUUGACAAGACCUGUAGGUUAAUGGAUUGAACUUCUCUCUCUAUAAAAGAGCUAGGGCAGCUACAGGCAGCCUGGAACUUAGUGAAAUUUUGCCCAAGCAGCACACAGGCCCUAUGCUGGCCUGCUGUGUGCAUCUCAGUCACACUGUGCCCAGCGUUUGGUGAAGCUGCAAGAAGCCAUCUGCAUGAGACUUCAUUGCCGUGUUUAGUUUCCCUGCCUGUGGGAAACCAUCCUGGUGCAGUAAGCUGUCUGAAUUCUGCAUCCCGCAGGUAAAUUACAUGUGCAGGGUGCCUGAGUAACUCAAGCAGAUGCACUGAUAUUGUUGUGUUGUUGGUCCCAACACAACAGAUGUCAGCUACUGCAGCAGACAACUUAAAGGUCCAACCCAAACUCUUUGACCUCUGAUUUGCUCUGUGGCAUUCCCAUAGCAAGACAGGAAGAGGAGACACCUCAACUGCAACUGCAAUGGUGAUCAUCUGCAUCAAACGCUUCUAAGCGGAGCCAUAGGACAUCAGUAGGAACAUCUCUAUCGUGUUCAGAGAAUUUAGGUUUUCCAGUGUCCCUCAAGAGCAGUGUGACUACUGCUGCGGUCCCUGCAUUAGCCCCACUACUGACAAAGGCGUUUUUGAUGCCAUUCCUUCAAUCUAAAUGAUGGAAUAAAAACAGGUCCCGGGACUGCUCGAACCGACUGUGCCUGGAGACUGUUCAAGAGAGAGAAUAUUUAAAGCAGUGCCGCAAACUGUGCACAGCUUUGCCAAAGCCUAUGGAGCUCUGCACUGGAAAACUGAGCUGAGCUAUCAGUGAUCUUUGCUUAAUCACUGCCUUAAUCACUGUUCCUGGGGCUUCUGCAUAACCAAGGUGAAGCACGUCCCCCAUCCCCCAUCCCUGCUGCAGCUCGAUAACGCCUUGCCUAGAUGCAGGCUUUGCACUUCCAGUGGCCAAUCUGUCCAAGAAAUGAAGGACCUUUCCCUCCUUUUCCUGCUGGGCUCCAGCACCUCACUGCAGCUCCUCUGCCAAAACCAAUGCUCCUGCAGUGAGUGGGUUCCCACAGCAGCUUUGGCUGAGCAGAAAUCCCUUCUCAGGGCGUGCACGCAGCACUUUGGGUAACUGCAGCCUGAUUUUGGUUGGAACUGCCACAUUACAAGCAAAUUCUUUGCAUUUAUAUUUGAAUUAAAUGUAAAUUCUUUUAGUAAUUAAAAGCUCAGUUCCAGUCCUUCACUUGUAAACAAAUUCCCAAAUCUGGAAGAGCCACAACCUCUCCCCUGCCACAGUCGAAGGUACAGUAGCUUACAUUUUAGCUAACGUUGUUUUGUUCAAAAUCAAA